UCGGGAACAGCACGACCGCAAAUCUGACCCGCCACGCGGUUGCGUGGCUUCGAGAUUGCGGCCGUGU
rfam:Halomicrobium mukohataei DSM 12286, complete genome.